UACGGGGGGGGCAAGCGUUGUUCGGAAUUGCUGGGCGUAAAGGGCUCGUAGGCGGCCAACUAAGUCGGAUGUGAAAUCCCCAGGCUUAACCUGGGAAUUGCAUCCGAUACUGGAUGGCUUGAAUCCGGGAGAGGGAUGCGGAAUUCCAGGUGUAGCGGUGAAAUGCGUAGAUAUCUGGAGGAACACCGGUGGCGAAGACGGCAUCCUGGACCGGCAUUGACGCUGAGGAGCGAAAGCCAGGGGAGCAAACGGG
rnacentral:rRNA from 1 species